rnacentral:rRNA from 1 species
UAGCGGAUCUGGCGGCACCAUGUGUUUCCAUUUGCUUGUCAUUGGCAUUACCGGGAGUGGUUCAUAUGGUAUCGUCGAGUCUGUCUAAUGGGAGGGCUCGUGAGUGGCAAUUGGGAUGUUUGUGUUGUCUGGCUCCAAUUGAUAGUAUCUACUACUCGAAUAACCGUAGUAAUUCUAGAGGUAAUAUGUGCAACAAACCCCGACUUCUGGAAGGGUUACAUUUAUUAGAUAAAUGGUCGAUGGAGGAUCUGCCUGUUGUUUUGAUGAUUCAUGAUAACUCGUCGGAUCACACAGCCUUUGUGCCGGCGACGCAUCAUUCAAAUUUCUGCCCUAUCAACUUCCGAUGGUAGGAUAAUGGCCUGCCAUGGUGGUCACAGGUGACGAAGAAUUAGGAUUCAAUUCUGGAGAGGGAGCCUGAGAAACGGGUACCACAUCCAAGGAAGGCAGCAGGCGUGCAAAUUACCCAAUCCUAACACGGGGAGGUAGUGACAAUAAAUAACACUAUCGGGCUCAUUGAGCAUGGUAAUUGGAAUGAGUACAAUCUAAAUCCCUUAACGAGGAUCCAUUCGAGUGCAAGUCUGGUGCCAACAGUCGUGGUAAUUCCAGCUCCAAUAGCGUAUAUUUAAAUUGUUGUAGUUAAAAAGCUUCUACUUGGCCCUUUGGUUGGGUCGAUCGGUCCCCCAUUGGUCUGCACCGGUCGUCUCGUCCCUUCUACCGGUGAUGCACUCCUGGCCUUAACUGGUCGGUUCGUGCCUCCGGUAUUGUUACUUUGAAGAGAUUAGAGUGCUCAAAGCAAGCCUACGCUCUAGAUACAUUAGCAUAGGAUAACACCAAAGGAUUUUGAUCCUAUUGCCUUCGGGAUCGGAGUAAUGAUUAACAGGGACAGUCGGGGGCAAUCAUAUUUCAUAAUCAGAAUGGUCCGGUGAAACGUUCGGAUUACGGCGAUGUCCCUUCCCAUUCAUCUUAAGCGCGAGUCAUCAUCUCGCGUUGACUAUGUCCCUGCCCUUUGUGCACACCGCCCAUCGCUCCUACCGAUUGAAGUGUCCGGUGAAGUGUUCGGAUUACGGUGACAUAGGCGGUCCGUCGCCAGCGACAUUGUGAGAAGUCCACUGAACCUUAUCAUUUUGAGGAAGGAGAAGUCGUAACAAGGUUUCUGUAGGUGAACCUGAGGAAGGAUCAUUG